rnacentral:lncRNA from 1 species
UAAUUUCGGGUGACUUUGGCCCGCCAGGGUGACUUUGGCUCAUUUUGGGAAAAAUAUAUUUUAGCAACUAGGGCAAUUGUACAAUAAAUUAUCAAGUAAAUUUCAUUAUACCGCACCAUCAGUACCAUAUGAACUGUUUGAAAAUUUUAAUAAAUUAUGCUAAUACUUGUUAUGUUACGAAAAAAACGAAUUUCUAAAAUUUGGUCAUUCCACAUAAGAUUUUUUGACUGCAAAAAUUGGUUGGCAACCAAUAAUACUUCCAAGAGUAAGAUUAAUUGCAUAGUGGCAUAUUGAAAAUCUGUGAAUUCUUAACCUCCGUGCAUCGUUAUUUCAGUCUAAACAUAGACAGUAAGACGGUCGGAUAUUAUUUUGCAAGGUGCUACAAAAUUUAACGGUUUUCGGGUGACUUUGUCCCAGUUUGUUGAUUGUUGGAUUUUGGUCAUUGGUUGCUUCUAUAUUAAAUUAAAAUACUUCGUCUAAUUCUUCAUUUAGUGAGAGCUAUAGGGAUAAUGAAGAUCUACAUAAGCUUUCCAUUGGAGUUGGAGACUUCGUAAUUGUAUCUGACUACUCUGACAGCUUUCCAGGAAAAUUCGAUGGAUUUGUAAGAGGUAGUAAUAACUGUUACGGUUGGGUGCAAGUAAUGGUACUGGGUGAAAGAAGUUUAUGGCAAUGGCCCGAAGUCUCCGUAAGAAAAUCCUACCACUUGGCUAAUGUUGAUUUCACUGAGCCAUUGGAACUUGUAGAUAACCGAUAUUUCUUUCCAGAUUUAAAAAAAAGCUUGUAAAUCGUUUUAUUGUUCAUUUUUUGUUAAGAAAUGAUGUUUUUUGUUAACCUAGGGUCCUAUGUAAAGUUUCAUGUUAGUUUUAGUUUUUCUUUGUUUGAAAUUUAAAUAAAUUUUUUUCACCUAACAAAA